rnacentral:rRNA from 1 species
UACGGGGGGGGCAAGCGUUGUUCGGAAUUACUGGGCGUAAAGGGCUCGUAGGCGGCCAAGUAAGUCAGACGUGAAAUCCCUCAGCUUAACUGGGGAACUGCGUCUGAUACUGGAUGGCUUGAGUUUGGGAGAGGGAUGCGGAAUUCCAGGUGUAGCGGUGAAAUGCGUAGAUAUCGGAAGGAACAUCAGUGGCGAAAGCGGCUUCCUGGACCAGAACUGACGAUCAGGCUCGAAAGCGUGGGGAGCAAACAGG